GUCCUAGCGGUAACGUUGUGCACUAGGUGUGGGUUCCGACGAGGACUCCGUGCCGCAGCGAAGCAUUAAGUGCACCACCUGGGAGUACGGCCGCAAGGCUGAACUCAAAGGAAUUGACGGGCCCGCACAAGCGGUGGAGUAUGUGGUUUAAUUCGACGCAACGCGAAGAACCUUACCUGGGCUUGACAUGCUUAGGACCGGAGUGGAACAUUCCUUUCCCGCAAGGGACCUUUGCACAGGUGCUGCAUGGCUGUCGU
rnacentral:rRNA from 1 species